AGGACGAACGCUGGCGGCGUGCUUAACACAUGCAAGUCGAGCGAGGCCCUCUCUUCGGAGAGGUGCCCUAGCGGCGAACGGGUGAGUAACACGUGGGCAACCUGCCCCUAGCACUGGGAUAAGCCCGGGAAACCGGGUCUAAUACCGGAUAUGACCUUCAAGGGCAUCCUCGAAGGUGUAAAGGAUUCUGGCUAGGGAUGGGCCCGCGGCCUAUCAGCUUGUUGGUGGGGUAAUGGCCCACCAAGGCAACGACGGGUAGCCGGCCUGAGAGGGCGACCGGCCACACUGGGACUGAGACACGGCCCAGACUCCUACGGGAGGCAGCAGUGGGGAAUAUUGCACAAUGGGCGAAAGCCUGAUGCAGCGACGCCGCGUGAGGGAUGGACGGCCUUCGGGUUGUAACCUCUUCAGCUCCGACGAAGCGAAGUGACGGUAGGAGCGAGAAGAAGCACCGGCCAACUACGUGCCAGCAGCCGCGGUA
rnacentral:rRNA from 1 species